rnacentral:lncRNA from 1 species
CCCUACUCCCCUAUUCUGUGUGCCUCCGACAAAUAAGACUCCCCGAGACUGUGGCCCCUGCUGGCAGCUCUAUCCGGUCACCUCUGGUUAGCGUGGGAUCCUGGUGGGGAAACCCGUCUCUCCUUACCGGAUGGUUGGGUUCUUGUUACCAUGGUAACACACCGACGCACCCCUAAUGGCUCAAAACAACACACACUUUUUAUCUUACAGCUGCGGGGGUCAGAAAUCUGACCUGGGGAAGAGUGGGCCAAAAUCGAGAUGCCAACAGGUGCGGGUCCUUGGAAGCUUUGGACACACCCAUCAGUAGCCGGGGAAGACUUGGUGUUUAUUUAAACCAGGUUUUUCCAUGGAACUCCUGGGAACGAGACGCAACUUUGUGGAUGGGAAGAGACUGCACAAAUCGUCCCCAGGAACUCGGAGGGGCGCGGUCCCACGUUGGACAGUCUUCCUGCUCUCCAGGAACGUGGUUGUCGCCCUGCCCCAGCGCCUGGCCUCCAUAUGCCCUGGUCCUGGCCUCCCUUCGCCCAUCCCAGUGGCAGGGCCACAGCCACACACAGCACAGACUCCUUCCCCGUGUGCCUCCGAUCCUGGCUCUGCAGACGUUGGACCUGGGGGGCUUGUGCUCCAUCCCCCACACCCGCUGCCCAGUGCUGUCCCUCGGUCCUCCCGUGACAGCUGUGCUAGGCCUGCGUGUGCAUGACAUUACAGGGCGAAUACACUGACUUCCUCAAUAAAUAAGUUCAGUACAAUGAAAGAGAUGUGUGAACAAAUCUACCUGAAACAACCUUGUUUGAAUCGCAGUAAAAGCUGUCAAAAAACAAAAUCCCUAAGACAAAAUGGUUCUGUGGUUUUUUGGCUUUGAUCUGUGUCUUGGCGCUGGGGAUCGAGCCCCAGGCCUGGGCACGAUGGCCAAGAGCUGUAGCUCCAGCCCACAAGGUACUUGUUUCUAAGUUCUUUGUCUUUUCCUCAUCUUUCAGAUACAACAUACUGAAGGGUUUAAGGUAAAACUAUAUGAGUCAUUGAAACUGUUUCCAAAUAUAGUAUUUG